AUGACCUAGUGCCUAGAUUUGCUCUUCUCCAAGACCUUAACGGUAAGCUUUUUUUGUCUUCUCUCCUUAGGCUUGGAUCACUAAGGUCUGUUCCCAAUACUAGAAGACUAUUUGACAUCAUAAUAAAACACUGCAGAUAUGAUGCUGAGUGAAAAAGAGUAGAAAUGUGAAGACUUGUUUGUGCAGAAACCGAGUUCUUAAAGAGAGGAGAUACUUUAUGAGGGCAUGGAAAUCUAAGGUCUUUCCAGAAUACCACAAGACAACUUGAUAUCAUAAUAAAACACCGUAGAUAUGAUGCUGAGUGAGUAAGAGUAGAAAUGGGAAGACCUGGUUGUGCAGAAACUAAGUUCUUAAAAGGAGGAGAUGCUUAAUGAGGGCAUGGAUCCUUAAGGUCUGUUCCCAAUACAACAAGACUAUCUGUUAUCGUAAUAAAACACUGCUGAUAGGAUGCUGAAUGAAAAACAGUAGAAAUGGGGAGAUUUGGUUGUGCAGAAACUGAGUUC
rnacentral:lncRNA from 1 species